rnacentral:rRNA from 1 species
UACGUAGGGUGCGAGCGUUAAUCGGAAUUACUGGGCGUAAAGCGUGCGCAGGCGGUUUUGUAAGCCAGAUGUGAAAUCCCCGGGCUUAACCUGGGAAUGGCAUUUGGGACUGCAAGGCUUGAGUGCGGCAGAGGAGACUGGAAUUCCUGGUGUAGCAGUGAAAUGCGUAGAUAUCAGGAGGAAUACCGAUGGCGAAGGCGGCGCUCUGGAACAUUUCUGACGCUAGAGCUACGAAAGGCAUAGGGGGAGUCAAACACGGG